CUAAUACAUGCAGUCGAGCGGAUGUGAUGGGAGACUUGCGUCCCUGAAAUCAGCGGCGGACGGGUGAGUAACACGUGGGUAACCUGCCUGUAAGACUGGGAUAACUCCGGGAAACCGGGGCUAAUACCGGAUAGUUCUUUUCCUCGCAUGAGGAAAAGUGGAAAGGCGGCUUCGGCUGCCACUUACAGAUGGACCCGCGGCGCAUUAUCUAGUUGGUGAGGUAACGGCUCACCAAGGCAACGAUGCGUAGCCGACCUGAGAGGGUGAUCGGCCACACUGGGACUGAGACACGGCCCAGACUCCUACGGGAGGCAGCAGUAGGGAAUCUUCCGCAAUGGACGAAAGUCUGACGGAGCAACGCCGCGUGAGUGAUGAAGGUUUUCGGAUCGUAAAGCUCUGUUGUUAGGGAAGAACAAGUGCCGUUCGAAUAGGGCGGCACCUUGACGGUACCUAACCAGAAAGCCACGGCUAACUACGUGCCAGCAGCCGCGGUAAUACGUAGGUGGCAAGCGUUGUCCGGAAUUAUUGGGCGUAAAGCGCGCGCAGGCGGUCUCUUAAGUCUGAUGUGAAAGCCCACGGCUCAACCGUGGAGGGUCAUUGGAAACUGGGGGACUUGAGUACAGAAGAGGAAAGU
rnacentral:rRNA from 1 species